UACGUAGGGUGCAAGCGUUAAUCGGAAUUACUGGGCGUAAAGCGUGCGCAGGCGGUUUUGUAAGCCGGAUGUGAAAGCCCCGGGCUUAACCUGGGAAUGGCAUUUGGGACUGCAAGGCUUGAGUGCGGCAGAGGAGACUGGAAUUCCUGGUGUAGCAGUGAAAUGCGUAGAUAUCAGGAGGAAUACCGAUGGCGAAGGCAGGUCUCUGGGCUGACACUGACGCUCAUGCACGAAAGCGUGGGGAGCAAACAGG
rnacentral:rRNA from 1 species